UGGGGAAUAUUGGACAAUGGGCGCAAGCCUGAUCCAGCCAUGCCGCGUGUGUGAAGAAGGCCUUCGGGUUGUAAAGCACUUUCAGUUGGGAGGAAGGCCCUGUAGCUAAUAUCUGCAGGGAUUGACGUUACCAACAGAAGAAGCACCGGCUAACUCCGUGCCAGCAGCCGCGGUAAUACGGAGGGUGCAAGCGUUAAUCGGAAUUACUGGGCGUAAAGCGCGCGUAGGUUGCUGAUUAAGCAGGAUGUGAAAGCCCCGGGCUUAACCUGGGAAUUGCAUUCUGAACUGGUCGGCUAGAGUACAGUAGAGGGUGGUGGAAUUUCCUGUGUAGCGGUGAAAUGCGUAGAGAUGGGAAGGAACAUCAGUGGCGAAGGCGACCACCUGGACUGAUACUGACACU
rnacentral:rRNA from 1 species